rnacentral:rRNA from 1 species
AAUAGAUACCCAGGUAGUCCAUGCCGUAAACGGUGGGCGCUAGGUGUGGGGGUCUUCCACGACUUCUGUGCCGUAGCUAACGCAUUAAGCGCCCCGCCUGGGGAGUACGGCCGCAAGGCUAAAACUCAAAGGAAUUGACGGGGGGCCCGCACAAGCGGCGGAGCAUGUGGAUUAAUUCGAUGCAACGCGAAGAACCUUACCUGGGCUUGACAUACGCCGGAUCGCCGCAGAGAUGUGGUUUCCCUUGUGGCCGGUGUACAGGUGGUGCAUGGUUGUCGUCAGCUCGUGUCGUGAGAUGUUGGGUUAAGUCCCGCAACGAGCGCAACCCUUGUCUUGUGUUGCCAGCACGUUAUGGUGGGGACUCGCGAGAGACUGCCGGGGUUAACUCGGAGGAAGGUGGGGAUGACGUCAAAUCAUCAUGCCCCUUAUGUCCAGGGCUUCACACAUGCUACAAUGGUCGGUACAGUGGGUUGCGAUGCCGUGAGGUGGAGCUAAUCCCUUAAAGCCGGUCUCAGUUCGGAUUGGAGU